GCAGAACCGGUGAAGAUUUGGGCACGGGACGAGGCGGCCGCGACCCUGCCGGAGUCCGGGGGGGACCUCCAGAAACCCGGGGGGUCCCUGACUCUCGUGUGCCGCGCAUCCGGCUUCAAUUUCGGGAGUUUCAGCAUGUACUGGAUUCGCCAGAGCCCCGGGAAGGCUCUGGAAUACGUCGCCAGUAUCAACAGCAAUGGUGGCAGCACCUACUACGCGCCAUCGGUCAAGGGCCGGUUCACGAUCUCCAGGGACAACGGGCAGAGCUCGGUGACGCUGACCAUGACCAACCUCAAGGACGACGAUUCCGGCUCCUAUUUCUGUGCCAGAGCUGCUGCUGCUUGGGCUGGUGCUGCUGGUGGUUAUGAUGUUGAUGACUUCCACCCCAUCCCCAUCACCGCGUCCCCACCCACACCCAAAUGUCCCCAGACCCUUCCCCAAGACUCCAACCCUUGA